GUAGAUAUAGUUUAACAAAAUAUUAGAUUGUGAUUCUAAAGAUAGAGGUUAAAACCCCCUUAUCCACC
rnacentral:tRNA from 2 species